AGUGAACGCUGGCGGUAGGCCUAACACAUGCAAGUCGAACGGCAGCACAGUAAGAGCUUGCUCUUACGGGUGGCGAGUGGCGGACGGGUGAGGAAUACAUCGGAAUCUACUUUUUCGUGGGGGAUAACGUAGGGAAACUUACGCUAAUACCGCAUACGACCUACGGGUGAAAGCAGGGGAUCUUCGGACCUUGCGCGGUUGAAUGAGCCGAUGUCGGAUUAGCUAGUUGGCGGGGUAAAGGCCCACCAAGGCGACGAUCCGUAGCUGGUCUGAGAGGAUGAUCAGCCACACUGGAACUGAGACACGGUCCAGACUACUACGGGAGGCAGCAGUGGGGAAUAUUGGACAAUGGGCGCAAGCCUGAUCCAGCCAUACCGCGUGGGUGAAGAAGGCCUUCGGGUUGUAAAGCCCUUUUGUUGGGAAAGAAAAGCAGCAGGUUAAUACCCCGCUGUUCUGACGGUACCCAAAGAAGAAGCACCGGCUAACUUCGUG
rnacentral:rRNA from 1 species